AACACCACAAAGAAUCUAGCUGACGUUUUAGUCGCUGUUUCCAUGACCAAACAACAUGUCUCACAAGUGGCGAAUGAAAUCUCAAUGGUACAAUGUGGAAAGACGAGAUUUGAUCUCCUUGGUAACGUGGAAGCUGCCGCCUAUGGAAUGGACUCUCUCCCAAAUAUGGUAAUAUCCGAACUGGAGAACGCAGACGAUGCCUGUCGAUCAGUGAAAGAUUUCUUCGUGGAGAAGAACUCUAAAAUAAACUACGGAGUGGAAACUGUUCUGAAAUUAGCCAGUGCUGAGAUCACCAACAUUAAUACUGCUUUGGAUCCCAU